rnacentral:rRNA from 1 species
GACGAACGCUGGCGGCGUGCUUAACACAUGCAAGUCGAGCGGUAAGGCCCUUUCGGGGGUACACGAGCGGCGAACGGGUGAGUAACACGUGGGUGACCUGCCCUCAGCUCUGGGAUAAGCCUGGGAAACCGGGUCUAAUACUGGAUAUGACUCCAUGACGCAUGUUGUGGGGUGGAAAGCCUUGUGCGGCUGAGGAUGGGCCCGCGGCCUAUCAGCUUGUUGGGUGGGGGG